AUUCGUUUUUUUUUUUUUAACAAAAUUACAGUACACAUAUAAUUGAUUGUUUCCCAAAGGUCCAAAAGCUCAGAUCUUAGUCACAUUGCCGAGAAAGUGAUUGAGGCGCGAAUAUUCGUAAUGCGAUUUUAUUAGCGCACAUGCGAAUAUCGGCUCUUCCCAGGACAGAGGCAAAG